rnacentral:rRNA from 1 species
UACAGAGGGGGCAAGCGUUGUUCGGAAUUACUGGGCGUAAAGGGCGCGUAGGCGGCCUGUUAAGUCGAACGUGAAAUCCCCGGGCUCAACCCGGGAACUGCGUCCGAUACUGGCAGGCUUGAAUCCGGGAGAGGGAUGCGGAAUUCCAGGUGUAGCGGUGAAAUGCGUAGAUAUCUGGAGGAACACCGGUGGCGAAGGCGGCAUCCUGGACCGGCAUUGACGCUGGAGGCGCGAAAGCCAGGGGAGCAAACGGGG